UGAGGCAAGAGUGGAAAAGCCGCUAAAAAUGUCAAAAAAAAUCCAAAUAGCUGUCAGUCAUCACAACAUUAUCAGGGAAGGAAGAGGGAUUAUGCUAAGCCCCAACUCGGGGAGACCAGUCUUAUCUUGCCUGUAGCAGCUCCAUGCACUAGAGAAAAAACAGGCUGAAAGAGAGCAAAGCUACAGGCCAGGAGGUGGGAGGGGGAAAAAAGAUGAGCAUGGCCACUACUACAAAACAUGAUCAAGCUCUACAAUAUUGUCAGAUCUAAGAUUUGAUACAUGAAGUCGGAAGUUGGACUGAAGCUUAGGGGGUUGAUAUAGAGCCCAACACAUAAAACAUGUGUUGGUUGUUCCCCUUUCUAAGAAUUAGACGCAUAAGAGGUGUAUGGGACCCAUUGCUGAUAAUUGUUGCAACCCACAUCAGAAGCAUCUGGUAUUCAACCACACUCUCAAGCAUCCCUUCAACUCAAGAAAUCAUUCAUUCAUCCAUGGUGACAAUCUCCAUGGAUGGAUGAAGCAGCGAAUGCCGUGUGACGGACUGGAGAGGUUACAGUCCAGGGCAACACUAAGACACUCAGAAUGAACAACUCAUGGAUAAAUGGGACCAGUUAACCUAACAUGGAUAUUUUCAAACUGUAAGUACUUAAAUUAAAACAAUGUAUAUUUGCAUGCAUAUAUGUGGAAUACUGGCUUUAAGACAAUAAUUGUUAAUAACUCCAAAAAAAACAUAUCACUAUGGGCACAYGCUUUAUUUAUCUUAUAAAAAAUAUCAAACRAUGAAUACUGUUUUAAAAUYCUUUCCAUCGUUAUGCUAACAGCAACUUUGCAAAACUGUUUGAAAUAACAGAAAGGUUUUUCAUCAUCAGUCUCCAGACCUGAUGUUUGACAGGUAGGAAUGCCAUCAUGAUGAGAUAUUUUACAGUAUAUGGCAGUGUGCUAUAUCUUUACAGAGGCAACCCUGUGUAAGUCACAGUAUUGGAGUGACCCAAGUGGCCCUGGGGUUAUUAAAAGGGCAGGGUGAGGUAUCAAUGGGGGGAGCUAAAGGGCCACAAAGCCUCUUUCUUCACUCUUCCUCCUGAUCCUAUCACUCCAUUCCUUGGCUGCGGAGAUGAAAGACUAUCCUGUAAUUGGAGAGUCAGGAGCAAGUGGAAGUAAUGAGAAAGUUAAAAAAGGGAAUGGGGUAAAGAGUGCUUGAGGAGUAGGUUUGGACAGAGUGAAAGAGAAAAUGCCUUUGAUUUCCUCAAAUUAAAUGAAGAAAAAUAGCCMAGCCUUGCUUCUCUAUAAGGCCGGACUUUGAGUGACAGUGUAGCAACGUGAGGUUUCCCGGCUGUAAUAACUUGCCUUUGUGAGGAGAACUCAACGCUUUGUCUUCCUUUUUGCUGGGGCCCAGGGUCCAGGGAUCAGCCUUGACUUAUUAUGACUAGCUUUUGUCCUUCAUAAGCUGUGGGAGACUUGACUUGCCCUUUCGCCUGUCAUCCGAACUGUGAUCCCAUACUGUGGCAGGUCUCCAUGCAAAGAAAUGAUGGAACGACAGCAAGGACAAGGCCAAACUAUGUAGACUUCAUGUACAAAAUUGUAUCAUUGUACAAGUCUUGCUACAAAGUCCGAGGCUGAUGGAUGCCCUCUUAAAUGUGUAAAGAAUAUUAUUUAGCUUGUUUUUUUUGAAUAGUCAUCURUGAUAUGAAAAUCUUUUUGGUCUAAAUAAUAAUCUUCCCCCAGGUAAGGGGUCUCAAACUCCAUUUCACAGUCCUUGUGACUUAAAUGGUGAAACUACCUCACAAGUAUACCAUGAAGCUCUGGAGAGCUCUGCUAAUGAGCUAAUAUUGGAGCCAGGUGCUGAAGCACAAAGAUAUCUAAAAGUUGCAGGACAGCRUCCCUUGCUGACUCUAGUCAUGAAAAUGACUAGAGUUUGAGACCUGUGYCUCUGGUACAUAUUGACUUUUUUCCAUUGGCAUUGACACUGCACUUCACAAAUACAUCUAAAUAUGAGGUCUUGCUGAGAUUUGUCUGCUAUACCAUAUUCACAAAUGUCAUUUCUACUUUUAAUGAAACAUUGCCAUUUUUUCACCUAUUUAAGAACUUUAUGAAGAAAAARAUUAGCAAUGGAUUCUAACACUACAUUUGAGAAGCAGAGCAUAUGUAAUCAAAUAAAGAUUUGAUAUGUUUUUUGGGGGUUUUUUUGUUGGACAAUAACAGAUAAGAUUAUUUUGCCUUGAAUAUUUACUUAUUUUCAACUGGAGUUUUUAAGUGUCUUGUUGGAUUUUUAWAGUGAUGGAUCUGGUCACUUAUCUCAAAUUUACAUCCUAAAGGCUGAAGUCUCCUUAUAUCAUAAUUUAUAACAGUAAAUUACAGCCACACUUAAUAAUUGCUACACCUGACUGUUAUAAGGCCCAAAUACUUUCAACAAAUAUGUUAAAGGAACUUAGUAUUGAAUGGGUUUGUAGAAAAAUGGCCAUCAGUUACUGUGGACCAACAUCAACUCCUUUCUGCUUU